rnacentral:rRNA from 1 species
AUGGAACAGCUGCAGGGCCUCCACCUCACACCCAUUCAACAGAAGGCCUGCCAUCAACGUGUUCCACGACACCAUGUCCCUGGUCUCCAUGCCACAGAACACAGCCUUGGCUUCUUCAACCAGCCCGCACUUUGCGUACAUGUUCAUCAGGGAAUUGCAAACGAACACGGUCGAGCGGCAUCCGAACUUGACCGACUGAGCAUGCACGCGCCGCCCGAGCUCGAGCGCGCCCUGGCCCGCCACCGCGGAGAGGACGCUCGUGAACGUGAACGGGUUAGGCCAUACCCCCUCGGCGCGCAUCCUGAAGAAGAGCGCCAUGGCGUCCGAGUGCGCCCCGGCCUGCGCAUAACCAGUGAGCAACGACGUCCAUGUGCCGACGUUCCUCUUUGGCAUCCCCUCGAACACCAGCCUCCCGUCCUCCACGCCACCGCACUUCGUGUACGCGUCGACGAGCGCCGUGCCGACUCCGACGUCGGCCCGGUCGAGCCCGCACUUGACGCAGAGGCAAUGCAGCUGCUCCCCGAUGGCCCUGCAGCCGCCCGGCAUCGCCCCGCACGCCUUGAGAGCGCAGGACAGCAUGGCGCCGUCGAGGUGUUCGCCGCCGAGGCGCCGUGCGGCCGAGAAAUGGCCCAGCGCCUCCCGCCCCAUCCCGCGCCGCGCGCACUCGACGAGGGCGUUCCGGCUGGAGCCGGAGCUGGCCCCCGCCGCGUCGUCCCGGCCGGGAAUUCCGUCGAACGCCCCGCGGGCGCUCCGGGUGUUGGGGCGAGCUGCGCCAUCCUCCUCCAGCCGGGCCGACGAGGCGCGCGUGGCCAGCCGCUGCCGGGACGCGAAGGCCCGGGGCAGAGCUGGGAGCGCCGUCCUCAGCGCCAUGCUACCUCGCUUCGUCGCUGGAGUCCAUGGCGGCGAGCCGGCGACGCGCGUGGCGGUGGGGAGUGGGAGUGGGAGUGA